ensembl:ncRNA lncRNA:CR43660 long non-coding RNA:CR43660
AGCUUAGUUGGUACAAUACUUCGUAGAUUCGGUACAAAUACAGUACGUGCACCUUUCCAACUCAUCAUAUUUUUUGAAAUGAGCGUAUGUGAUGGAUUUAAGCCAGGAUGCACAUCUAAUAGGUCAAUUGGGUAACGGACCUCGUGGCGUAUGCGCAAUUUCAAAAGAAACGCUUAGGUCAAACAAUAUUGGUUUCCACAAAUGCACACAGAGAAUCACAGUUUCUGCGUAAAAAAAAAACUGAAAAUCUAUUGAGAAGUGGCUAAGGCAAUUUCAAUGCCAAAGUGGACGAAAGUUGGUAAAACUUUGCCGGGCCAAAGUGAGACAGCCAAAAGUGAGACAGCGAAAAAGAAAUGUUCCAGGUGGCAAAUGUCAAAGCAGUGGAUCCUGGCAGCUGAAGGACAGUAGUCCCGUCCCCUUUCGUUGCUUGUUUGUUUGUUUGUUUGUGCCAUUGUCGUUUGUGAACUAUGAACUGUCACACGGAGAAGAGUGCACUAAAAGCGUCGCCUUACGGCAACUGACUUGGAAAGAUAAUCGCGAGGGGUGUGAUGAGUGGGCGUUGCAACUUUUGAUAACGGUUUAUCUGGGCUGCCGUUGCAGCUUACCUUUUUUAGCCGGGCAACAGUUUCAGCUGACUGGCUAAGUUGGCUUCAAGUUGCCACCGACUUGACUGACUUGACUUUCAUCAUCAUCGUAAUUUGCUUUCCAGCUUGAGCUUCCAAAAGGGAGGCGAAAAAAAAAGUAUCUUGGUAUCUUGAUGUCGCGACAACUUUUCCUAUUCGCCACCCCCUGGAUGGCCUUCAUGGUUAGCAUUUAAUUAUUUGAAAAAUACGCAUUGGCGCUUCGUAUUACCGAGAAAGAGAAGCAAAAAGAGAAUCGGAUCGGAUGUGGGGAAAGUAAACAGCAAAAAAGGUUCACAUUUUGAAAUUAAAUAUCACAAAAAAUGUUUUUUGUAGUUUGGUACUAUUCUUUUCAAAAAGGCACAAAAACUCUUUAGUUAAAGAAGUUAAACUCUAUAAAAAUUAAUAUUUCUCGUAAUUAAAAUGCAAUAAUCAUUAUAAUUCAUAGACAAGUUUAGAAUGCAUGUUGGAUCUACAGUUCUGUUUGGUUUUAAAGUGUAAGAGGGUGAACAUAUAUUUAAACCCCGACCGGCAUCAAGAGAAGGACGAAAACAUCCUCUGACAGUUUGGCUAACAUUAAAAGCGGCAAAAUGUUGCGGUGCUGCCUGCCAAAUGACAUGAUUUCUCAGUUCUGAUUCGGUUUCCAUUCUGCACUCUCUUCAGGCUGCAUUUCUACAUCUUCGCAUUUCUACAUCCCCACAUCAACUUCAGCUCAAGAACUGAGCGAAACUUUUGCUUAUCUGCGUUACAGCCACAAAACCGAAUCCCGACUUCAGCCAACCAAGUCGCCACCCUUUCUUCACUUUCUACACUGAACAAAACUACUUCACUCUCAAUUGACCCAUUCUUUAACACCACACAAGAUCUGAGAUAAUAAAUAUAUAUUUAAGAGGAGUUUAUUUCGAAUU